rnacentral:rRNA from 1 species
UACGUAGGGGCGAGCGUUAUCCGGAAUUAUUGGGCGUAAAGAGUGCGUAGGUGGUCUUGUAAGCGUGGGGUGAAAGGCAGUGGCCUAACCAUUGUUAGCCUUGCGAACUGUGAGACUUGAGUGCAGGAGAGGAGAGUGGAAUUCCUAGUGUAGCGGUGAAAUGCGUAGAUAUUAGGAGGAACACCAGUAGCGAAGGCGGCUCUCUGGACUGUAACUGACGCUGAGGAGCGAAAGCAUGGGUAGCGAACAGGAUUAGAUA